UACGUAGGGUGCGAGCGUUGUCCGGAAUUAUUGGGCGUAAAGAGCUCGUAGGCGGUUUGUCGCGUCGUUCGUGAAAACUCCACGCUUAACGUGGAGCGUGCGGGCGAUACGGGCAGACUUGAGUUCGGUAGGGGAGACUGGAAUUCCUGGUGUAGCGGUGAAAUGCGCAGAUAUCAGGAGGAACACCGGUGGCGAAGGCGGAUCUCUGGGCCAUUACUGACGCUGAGGAGCGAAAGCGUGGGGAGCGAACAGG
rnacentral:rRNA from 1 species